UACGGAGGAUGCGAGCGUUAUCCGGAUUUAUUGGGUUUAAAGGGUGCGCAGGCGGCCCGUCAAGUCAGCGGUAAAAUGUCGGGGCUCAACCCCGGCCGGCCGUUGAAACUGGGGGGCUCGAGUUGGAGAGAGGCAUGCGGAAUUCGUGGUGUAGCGGUGAAAUGCAUAGAUAUCACGAAGAACUCCGAUUGCGAAGGCAGCAUACCGGCUCCACACUGACGCUCAGGCACGAAAGCGUGGGUAUCGAACAGG
rnacentral:rRNA from 1 species